UUUUUCUUUUUUUUUUUCUUUUUUUUAAAUUUUUAAGUAGGCUCCAUGUCCAGUGUGGAGCCCAAUGUGGGGCCUGAACUCUUUUCCUGAGAUCAGGAAAUCAAAGACUAAUGGAUUGAAAGAGACAGUUCUGGGGAUUUAGCCCAACUCCUCAAUGAUGGGAGGCAGACCAUGGUGAGAGGCAAUAUACAUAGUGGUUAAGAGCAUGGCUGAGGGGCACCUGGCUGGCUUAGUCAGUGGAACAUGUGACUCUGGAUCUCGGGUUUGUGGGUUCAAGCCCCAUAUUGGGUGUAGAGAUUACUUAAAAUCUUUUUUAAAAAUGAGCAUGUUUAUGAGACACAGGGGUGGCUCAGCAGUUGAGCAUCUGCCUUCGGCUCAGGGCAUGAUCCAGGAUCUGGAAUCGAGUCGCACAUCAUGCUCCUUGCGAGGAGUCUGCUUCUCCCUCUGCCUGUGUCUGCCUUUCUCUUAAGUAAAUAAAUAAAAUCUUUUUAAAAAAAGAACAUGUUUGAAGUUAGCUUCUGUCUAGAAGCUGUAUGAUUCUAAGCAAGUAAUCUAAUCUCUAUGCCUCAGUUUCUUCAUUUAUAGACUAGGGAUAGCAAAAUGAGUUCAUAUUCCCUUAUGUACAAUUCAGAAUCCAUAACCCUAAAAUUACUUCAAAACUUAUUUGGUGGAUAGAGCUAAUCUGAACUGAUUUGGAAGCAAAAUCUAACCCAAUAGAUUCAUAUAAAGGUAUUUAUUCCAUUGAAUGUAAAACUUCACAUGCCUCUAACAGACACAUGAAAAGAUGCUCAAUAUCAUCCAUCAUCAGGGAAACACAAAUCAAAACUAUAAUGAGCUAUCACCUCACACCUAUCAGAAUAGCUAAAAUCAAUAACACAAGAAACAACAGGUGUUGGUCAGGAUGUGGAGAAAGGGGAACCCUUUGGCCCUGCUGGUGGGAAUGCAAACUGGUGCAGCUACUGUGGAAAACAGUAUGGAGGUUCUUUAAAAAGGUAAAAAUAAAACAUCUUAUGACCUAGCAAUUGCACUACUGGGUACUUACCCAGAGGAUAAGAAAAAAUACUAAUUCAAAGGGACACAUACAGCCCAUGUUUAUAGCAGCAUUAUCUACAAUAGCCAAACUAUGGAGAGAGCCUAUGUGUCCAUUGACUGAUCAGUGGAUAAAGAUGAGGUGGUAUAUAUACAAAAUAGAAUAUUAUUCAGCCACAAAAAAAAGAAGGAAAUCUUGCCAUUUGCAAUGACAUGGACGGAGCUAGAGAGUAUUAUGCUAAGCAAAAUAAGUCAAUCAGAGGAAGACAAAUACCAUAUGAUUUCAUUCAUGUGGCAUUUAAGAACUAUAAAAAAACAAGCAAAAGGUGGGAGGAAAGAGGCAAACCCCAAAACAGACUCUUAACUCUAAAGAACAAACUGAUGAUUACCAGAGGGGACGUGUAGGAGGAGAUAGGGGAAAUCAGUGAUGGGGAUGAAGGACUGCACUUGCUGUGAUGAGCACUGGGUGUUACAUGGAAGUCUACACUUAAAACUAAUAUUACACAGUAUGUGAACUCUACUUGAAUUUAGAUUAAAAACUUCUAUAAAUUUGUAUGUCUCACCAAAGAAAUACUAAUUAAUUAUGGAGUACAGUCCCCUGAAGGUGUUUUCUAAUGCAAGACAGAUGUGCCCAUGUGCGUUUGUAAAAUCCAAAGAUUUUUGAAACACAUCUGGUCUUACGGCUUUCAGAUAAAAUACCAGGGAUCUGAAGCACCUCUCUAUAAGGCCGCUGUAAGGAUUAAAUCAGUAAUGCAGGAAAAGUGCGUAGAAUAGUACUUGGUUCAAAAUAAGUACUCCAGACAUGGGUGUACUAUUAUCAUUGGGAACCCCCUCUAUAAGCAUAUUCCUAAGAGACAUUAUCUGGCAUUUAUCUGACUCCUAAGGAGGAGAAUUCACUUGUUUAUGAGACAACUAGUUCAAAUACUAGACAUCUCUUUCUCUUAAGAUUUUAUUUAUUUGAGAGAGAGUAAGAGACAGAGAGAGCAUGAGAUGGGGAGGUUCAGAGGGAGAAACAGACUCUCUGCCAAGCAAGGAGCCCGUCUCAGGGCUUGAUCCUGGGACUCCAGGAUCAUGACCCGACUGAGUCACCCAAGCGCCCCAAAUGCUGGACAUUUCUAAUCUAAUCUUAUAGUAGCUGAAAUUUGCCUUCCUCUAACUUCCCCCUACUGGUCAUAGUUAGAUUUUAGUAUAGCUUUUGUAGAUAGCUGCUGUGUCUGCCCUGAGUCUUCUUUCCUCCAUGAUUAAUUGUUCAUCAUACACUGCUCCCAGACCAACCUGUUAGCUCUGCCCCAACACACUUCAAUUUGCCAAUAUAUCCUUCCAAAUGUGGUGCCCAAAAUAAAACCCAGAAAUCCAUAUGGGUUCUGAGCAGCACAAGUACAGACCAUGGUUUUUUUCCUGCUCCAGACUGUGAAAAACAAUGGUGUCUCAGUGUGAAAACAGAAGUGAGAUGGAAGGAGAAAUGGAAAAACACAAUCAAGGCCAUUGCAGAGUUUCAUUAGAAAAACAUACUAAAAAAAUUCAAUUUCAAAGCAAUUUUUUUCUGGUUUCCCUGAACUAGAUGGAAAACACUGAGCAGCUUAGACCAGUUCAAAUAUAAGAGUCAAACAGUGUAGAAGUAAGGUCAGUGACGUUACACCAAUUCAUUUACUGUGAAAUACUACAGACAGUACUGCUGGCGCCUGAGUGAAGGUCACGGACCAUAUCCCACAGCCCAAGAAAAACUAAUGAUAUUCCAACAGGAGGAGGAGAAGAACAGAGCUAAAACAAAACAAAAAAUAAAAAAACAAAACCUCUGACAAGUAUCAGCACCAAUUUACAGUGAAUUACUGAGAAACAGAAGGAUACUGCUCCCACUGGUGGGCAGCUAGAUACUUCCUCAUCCUUGAUCCCUCUGGUUAAAAAGAACUUGAACAAAUAAAUCCACUGGAGGGGAAGAAAUCCAUUUCCAAGGUGGGCAGUGUGAUCACUCACUCAAGCUGUGACGGGGAAAACAUUCUUCUCCUGCAGUGGCCAUCUUGGCUACCUGCAUGGGGCGCCUAGAAUUCUAGAUGUUUUCACGUCUUGGUAAAAAUCCAAGAGUUGGUUGGUGAGUACAUGGGAAUUUGUUAUUCUAUUCUUUCUACUUUGUGUGUGUUUUAAAUUUUCCUAACAAAAUGUUUUGAAAAAUCCUCAAGCAAUUAUAACUUUUUAAAACAAAUGAUGACAGUCUAAUUAUGGAAUCUGUCCUUUUCCCCAUACAGAGAUACUUUUUUAAACCUCCCCCUCUUUUUUUGAAGAUACUUUUUAAACCAGAAGGUACCUUUAUUAAUAAACUAGCUGGGAAAAUCUUAGUAAUUUUUUAUGUAGACCUAUUAAAUUAUAUAGUAGCUUCUAAAUCUAGUAACUAAACACAGAAAUAAACUAUCAGAAAGAAUUUUAACACUGCAAAGUGUGUUCCUAGCCAUGCUGGUGAAUGAAGACCAUCAAGUUAAUGUCUGGUUGAAAGCAAGGAUGUUAGGGGAUCCCUGGGUGGCUCAGCCGUUCAGCGCCUGCCUUUGGCCCGGGGUGCGAUCCUGGGGUCCCGGGAUCGAGUCCUGCAUCGGGCUCCUGGCAUGGAGCCUGCUUCUCCCUCUGCCUGUGUCUCUGCCUCUCUCUCUCUAUCUGUGUCUAUCAUAAAUAAAUAAAUCUUUAAAAAAAAAAGAAAGAAAGCAAGGAUGUUAGUGUGAGAAUGUCUAGCCUGGUUUUUCCUUUAGUCCACUGAGGAAUAGCUUUGUGAUCAUAUGACUCAGAUCAAACCUAAUACCAGAAUCACACAGAUAAAAGAGUAGUCAGAAAAACUGAUUAGGCAAAUAGACUUUGGCCUACUUCUGUUGAAGUGCAUCUAGGAGUGGACCUCCAAUUCACUUGGGCUCAAGUAAAUGCUCAGAACAGGCAGACAAUGCUUUGUAUAUGGAUACUUGGCUAGAGGCAGAGCCUCCAAUGUACCAGAGCUCUUGAGCACAAUUUCUCAUCCUGGCCCUGCCACUGACUCCAGUCACUGCUGCAGGGAAUCAAUUCCACAUAGGCUUGGGCCAGUCUACAAUAUGGUCCACAAUAUGGACCUCUAGACUUUGCUCCAGGGUUUCUCUGACAACAAGAUCUGUGAUGUCUGUGGAAAGCUGCUUGGCAGUGGCACUUGCACAAUCCAAAAGUGUUGAGCAAUUACUACUUGUUAGGAUCUGUUUAGAUGGGAUGUUGUAGGUGAAAGGAAAUAAGGGCCCCAUUGCUGGUGGUAAGUGCAGAUCCAGCAGCAACACAACUGGUUCUCACUUGGAUUGGGAUGAGGUACAGGUAGAAGGGAGAAGUUUUGGGUUAUGUGGUAGCUGUGCACUUGAACAAUAUGGAGGCAAUGAUAAUGAUAAUGAUAAAGAAUGGGGACUUCAUUGGCUUUUGUGACCUUUGGAAGUCUUUAAAAAAUGAGAUGAUGAAUUCAGGUUAGGCAAUAAUCAAUUCAAGCACACUGUGAGCUUCAGGUCCAUGGCAAUGUUUUAAAAACUUUAUCUCCUGCAGAUGCAGGGAAUACCGUCUUGAACAUUAAGCCAAUGAUUUAGUCAUAAGGUGAUAAAGUCAAAAGGACAGUGAAUGCAAACCUUAAGAGGUCUCCUAUUUCAAAGUUAGGAUCCUAAUAGGAAAAGUUUAAGAUCUUAAGAUCUGGGAUAGGAUAUUCAAGUCUGAGAAUAUUGACUCACGAGAUUGAUUUUAAUGUACUUAAGCAGAACCAGUCUUCUUCCCCUUGGACAGAAGAGAACAUCCUCAUCCAGCUAGGAACCCCUGAAAAGAAUGCACCUGAAUCUUGCCUUGCAAGGUGAUGCUUGUCCUCAUCAAGAUCUUAACCCACCUUCACUCACUAUCUCCAGGAUAACUGGAGCCAAGUUUUGGUUCAGGUAGGCAGGAAAAUACAUCAUUGCUCCAAUAGGAAGUAGUUUACUCAAGAAACUGAAGGCCCUGGCUAUUGAAUACAGCCGGGAACCUGGAGAUGCUAACAAGAGAGAAUCUUGAGGAUGCUGGGCCAGGGUUGGUAAGUGGAUAGCAGAGAAGUCAUUGACAGUGGAGCGCUCCUCCUUGAUAUAAGCUGGCCUGGCAAAAGCCUGCAGCAGUCCACUGCAAUGAUGGUUUCCUGAGGCUUGGACAAAAUGAUGGCCUACAAUAAAUAAGUUGCUGGAAUUUGCCUGGCAAAACUCUGAGGAAGAAGUUACAAAGCUCAGGCAAGUGGAAAUAUUAGAGUAAUCUUUUUUGAUUAUUCACUUAGGGUAGAUUACAAAAAGCAGUGAUUAGGAAUUAACAGAGGUAACAUGUAAUUUCAAUUUCUACAAGCACUUGUUUUUCAAAGGUUUGCAGGAAACACACAUAGAUGCCACUUUACAUAACUGAAUUUCAUCAAACUCUUUUGUUUCUGUCAUUGUCAUCAAAUGAGCAAUACUGGCAAACAAAGCAGUUUAUUCUUGAACAGUGGAAAGUAACUGAAAAAAGUAUUGUGGUAAAAUAUACAUAUAUAAAAUUUACCAUUUAAACUAAUAAAAAUAAAUAAAUAAAUAAACUAAUAGUCCUACUUUCAUGUAGGAAAAUAUUUCCCUAGGGGAAGUGGGAUGGCUCCACUGAACUUGAGGACAUUACUGCCUCCUGUGAACUCUGGACUCCUCGUGGCAGUAGAGCAGCAAAGAAAGGUGUUAGCAUGUUGGCAAGAGGAGCUGGCUCUGAUUACCGGUUACAUAGUAUGUGCAAGCAAGAAUAAGCCUGGAAUACAGAAGAUAAACUGGGACAUCGACUGAGGAUUCUAUGACUGGGGACGAUGAAAUGGGCGCUUGCAGCAAUCAUGGCCCUACAAAGACAACUAAAGCCUCCGAGUCCUCAGAGAUGAAGGUCUGAAGUGGUGGAAGUAGCCUAGAUGGGUCAAAGAAUGGGCUGAAAGUGAGAGAAACCUGAGCAGAGUGGGAAAGGGGGAUGGCAGGGUAGAGACUUGGGACCUGUUAUAGCAGCAGAGCUGGUAACUUCUACUAAGUUUCCUGUAUUAAAUCUUUGUAGCACCUGGGCCUGGCCAUUGCCUCAAAGAAGAGUCUGGACUAAAUGCAGAGCAUAAAGUAUCUAAAAUCUAAAAAAGUAAAAGGUUGAACUCUAUUAAAAGCCUGUUGCAAGGGCAGCCUGGGUGGCUCAGCGGUUUAGUGCCUGCCUUCCGCCUGGGGCGUGAUCCUGGAGACCCGGGAUUGAGUCCCAUGUCGGGCUCCCUGCAUGGAGCCUGCUUCUCCCUCUGCCUGUGUCUCUGCCUCUCUCUCUCUCUCUCUCU
rnacentral:lncRNA from 1 species